rnacentral:misc_RNA from 1 species
GAUGAAGAACGCAGCGAAAUGCGAUACGUAAUGUGAAUUGCAGAAUUCAGUGAAUCAUCGAAUCUUUGAACGCAUAUUGCGCUCUCUGGUAUUCCGGAGAGCAUGCUUGCUUGAGUAUCAGUAAACACCUCAACUUCCAUAUCUUUUUUGAAAUGGGAGUUGGACUUGAGUGAUCCCAACGCUUUUCCUCACCGAAAAGUGGCGGGUUACUUGAAAUGCAGGUGCAGCUGGACUUUUCUCUGAGCUAUAAGCAUAUCUAUUUAGUCUGCCUAAAAAACAGAUUAUUACCUUUGCUGCAGCUAACAUAAAGGAGAUUAGUUCUUGUGCUGACUGAUGCAGGAUUCACAAAGACGGCUUCGGCCGACUUUGUAAACUCGAUCUCAAAUCAAGUAAGACUACCCGCUGAACUUAAGCAUAUCAAUAAGCGGAGGA